UGGAUAGGAAUGGCUGUGCAGGUGCAAAGAAGCAGGUGGAAGAGCUCUGCCCAGCUACAGCGAAGCUGUGGGCCUGAGCUGAGUGAGGCCAGCUGUUAGGUAAGGCAGCGCUAGUUGGUAGUGGGUCUUGAAGCCUGAGACUAGAGGAGUUUUAAUAUGAUUUGGGAGACAACUGGGAGCCUUUAUGGGCAAGCAAAGAGGAGAGCAACGUGAUCUAAGUGACGCUGGAGGAAGAUGAUUCUCAAUGAUGUGUGUCCAAUAGAGGAGAGGAGACCCCCAGGCUGGAGGAAGGGGAGCUAAUUGGGAGGCAGGAGUCCAGGUGUGAAGCGAUUAUGGCUCGGACCGGAGCCCUGGGAAGGCGAAGGAAGACAGAAGAAGAAACGUUUAUCCUAAAUCUGGACGUGGUGUCAACACUGAUCAGCCAGAGACUGACACAAAAUGGUCCCAAAAAGGGAAAACUGGACAGAUACAAGAGCUAACUGAGGAAAGUGUUUUAAGGUAUAAAUGUACUUCAAAAAGAAGUGAGUUGAUUUAAAGAUCCAGGUCUUUGUUGGCAUCAUGAAAACAGACUAAUAAUAUGCAUAG